rnacentral:pre_miRNA from 1 species
UCCUAACAGCAGGAGUAGGAGCUCUGAUUAUCCCCUGCUUCUGCUGCCUGCCUUUAGGACC